rnacentral:lncRNA from 1 species
AUCCUUGUCGGACAUGUCGCUUAUCUCCAACAUGAGGGUAGUAAACUCAUUGAUGUAGUCCCGCAUACUACCCGAUUGUUUGUCGCUUAUCUCCAACAUGAGGGUAGUAAACUCAAUGAUGUAGUCCCACAUACUACCUGAUUGUUUGAGGCGACGUAAGCGCGCUCGCGCUUCCUUUUCCGCAUUGUUUGGGGCGAAUUGCUUUCGGAGUUCUUUCUUGAAGCCGGCCCAAGUGUCGAUGGCGCAGAUUCCCUUGCCCAUCUCG